GCGGAAAUAGUUCAGUGGUAGAACGUCAGCUUCCCAAGCUGGAUGUCGCGGGUUCGAGCCCCGUUUUCCGCUCCA
rnacentral:tRNA from 1 species